GACGAACGCUGGCGGCGUGCUUAACACAUGCAAGUCGAACGGAGAGGCCCUGCUUUUGUGGGGUGCUCGAGUGGCGAACGGGUGAGUAACACGUGAGUAACCUGCCCUUGACUUUGGGAUAACUUCAGGAAACUGGGGCUAAUACCGGAUAGGAGCUCCUGCUGCAUGGUGGGGGUUGGAAAGUUUCGGCGGUUGGGGAUGGACUCGCGGCUUAUCAGCUUGUUGGUGGGGUAGUGGCUUACCAAGGCUUUGACGGGUAGCCGGCCUGAGAGGGUGACCGGCACAUUGGGACUGAGAUACGGCCCAGACUCCUACGGGAGGCAGCAGUGGGGAAUAUUGCACAAUGGGCGGAAGCCUGAUGCAGCAACGCCGCGUGCGGGAUGACGGCCUUCGGGUUGUAAACCGCUUUCGCCUGUGACGAAGCGUGAGUGACGGUAAUGGGUAAAGAAGCACCGGCUAACUACGUG
rnacentral:rRNA from 1 species